rnacentral:rRNA from 1 species
AGUGAACGCUGGCGGUAGGCCUAACACAUGCAAGUCGAACGGCAGCACAGGAGAGCUUGCUCUCUGGGUGGCGAGUGGCGGACGGGUGAGGAAUACAUCGGAAUCUACUUUUUCGUGGGGGAUAACGUAGGGAAACUUACGCUAAUACAGCAUACGACCUACGGGUGAAAGCAGGGGACCUUCGGGCCUUGCGCGAUUGAAUGAGCUGAUGUCGGAUUAGCUAGUUGGUGGGGUAAAGGCCCACCAAGGCGACGAUCCGUAGCUGGUCUGAGAGGAUGAUCAGCCACACUGGAACUGAGACACGGUCCAGACUCCUACGGGAGGCAGCAGUGGGGAAUAUUGGACAAUGGGCGCAAGCCUGAUCCAGCCAUACCGCGUGGGUGAAGGAGGCCUUCGGGUUGUAAAGCCCUUUUGUUGGGAAAGAAAUCCAGCUGGCUAAUACCCGGUUGGGAUGACGGUACCCAAAGAAUAAGCACCGGCUAACUUCGUGCCAGCAGCCGCCGUAA